rnacentral:tRNA from 1 species
ACGGAUGUGGCGAAAUCAGGAAAACGCACCAGACUUAGGAACUGGUGGCUAACAGCCUUGUGGGUUCGAGUCCCAUCAUCCGUA